rnacentral:rRNA from 1 species
GUGUCCUACGGGGCGCAGCAGUGAGGAAUAUUGGUCAAUGGCCGGAAGGCUGAACCAGCCAAGCCGCGUGAGGGACGAAGGUGCCAAGCAUUGUAAACUUCUUUUGUCAAGGGACAAAAUCAGGCUCGAGAGCCUGACCGAGGGUACUUGAAGAAAAAGCAUCGGCUAACUCCGUGCCAGCAGCCGCGGUAAUACGGAGGAUGCGAGCGCUAUCCGGAUUUAUUGGGUUUAAAGGGUGCGCAGGCGGAAGCGCAAGUCAGCGGUAAAAUUGAGAGGCUCAACCUCUUCCCGCCGUUGAAACUGCG